CUUUGGUGCUAUAUCAUCAGACAUACAGUUGGAAAGAAGAUGCAUCAUUGUUUGCACCUGUGUUAAGAGAAACAACCAUUUUGUCUGAGCACCAGUGUGACAAGCUCUACUACCGUCAAAUUACAGUUUUUGAUGCACAAGGCAGAGCUCAACC